CGGAGGGCGCGAGCGUUACCCGGAUUUUACUGGGGCGUAAAAGGGCGUGUAGGCGGCUUGGGGCGUCCCAUGUGAAAGACCACGGCUCAACCGUGGGGGGAGCGUGGGAUACGCUCAGGCUAGACGGCGGGGAGGGGGGUGGUGGAAUUCCCCGGAGUAGCGGUGAAAUGCGCAGAUACCGGGAGGAACGCCGAUGGCGAAGGCAGCCACCUGGCUCGUUCGUGACGCUGAGGCGCGAAAGCGUGGGGAGCAAACCGGAUU
rnacentral:rRNA from 1 species